rnacentral:rRNA from 2 species
UUGGAGGGCAAGUCUGGUGCCAGCAGCCGCGGUAAUUCCAGCUCCAAUAGCGUAUAUUAAAGUUGCUGCAGUUAAAAAGCUCGUAGUUGAAUUUCGGGACCAUCAUGUCGGUCGUGCCUCGGUACGUACUGGCAUUGUUGGUUUCUCCCUUCUGACGAACCAUGAUGUCAUUUAUUUGGUGUCGUGGGAAAUCAGGACUGUUACUUUGAAAAAAUUAGAGUGUUUAAAGCAGGCUCACGCUUGAAUACAUUAGCAUGGAAUAAUGAAAUAGGACGUUUGAUUCUAUUUUGUUGGUUUCUAGGAUCGACGUAAUGAUUAAUAGGGAUAGUUGGGGGCAUUAGUAUUCAAUUGUCAGAGGUGAAAUUCUUGGAUUUAUUGAAGACUAACUACUGCGAAAGCAUUUGCCAAGGAUGUUUUCAUUAAUCAAGAACGAAAGUUAGGGGAUCGAAGACGAUCAGAUACCGUCGUAGUCUUAACCAUAAACUAUGCCGACUAGGGAUCGGAUGAUGUUAAUUUUUUAAUGACUCAUUCGGCGCCUUACGGGAAAC